rnacentral:lncRNA from 1 species
GUAGCUUCAUUGUGUCGUUUGGGAUAAGUGUGCAAAAUUGCAGUUCAGUCGGACGUGGUUUUGUUGAGUUUAUAAUCAAAAGUGUAUUUCGAAAGAUUUUAGAAACUUAGGCUUGAAUCCGAUGUGUUUUGGGUGAUUCGAUGUUGUUUGAGGUGUUUUGGUGAUUGGAACAAGUUAGAAUAAGGUUUUAGGAUAUGUUGGUGCUUUUGGUUGAGGUCACGGAGGCCUCGGGGUGAAUUCGGAUGGUUAACAGGAAGAUUGGAGACUUGAGAGAUUGCAGAAAAUUUGUUGCUUCUAGUGUUUUCGUGUGGCUUGGGGACCAUAGGUGCGGCGUCACACGUGCGGAAGGGAAGGGGCAAAUGCGCAUUGGAGAAGUGGCGUCACGAACCGCAGAUGCGGUGAGGGGACUGCACCUGCAGAGUCGCAGAUGUGACGUGUGGACCGCAGAUAUAGAAUGGGGCCAUUAAAGGAGUUCCGCAGAAGCGGAGGUGUUGACCGCAUAUGCGGUACUGCAGAAGCGAAUUUUAGGCCGCAAAUUUGAGUAUUCCUUGGAAGGAUAUAUAAGUUAUUUCAUUUCAUGAAAUUGGAUUAUUCCACCAUUUUUGGACUUCGGCUUGAGAGCUUUUGAACGAUUUGGAAGGGAGAUUUCAAGGGAACUUCGUUAAGGUAACGAUUUUGGACCUAAAACUCACUCCUAUGGUAAUAUUCCAUGGAUUAAGACUGAAAUUAAUGGAAUUAAAGGGCUAAAAUGGAGGUUUAAGGCUUGAGUUUAAGAGGGCUUUUAAUGAGGAUUUGAGGGGUCAUUUGGACUCUGAUUUUGAUAUUUUUGUUAUGUAUGAACUCGUGGAGAGAUAAAAAACUCGUUGAUGUGAAAAUUUCUGAUUUUCGAGAAGUGGGUUUGGGGCUAGGGUUUUUCUAAUUAUUGGAUUUUUGGUAUUUUUCGAUUUGUUUUUGCUUGGGCUUUGUUCUCUUAGCAUGUUGUGACGUGUUUGUUCUGAUUUUGAAUAGAUUCGACGUGCCUGGAGGCCGAUUUGAGGGCAAAGGCAUCACAAGCCAGAGAUUUAUCUGGUUCGAGGUGAGUAAUGAUUAUAAAUGAUGCUGUGAGGGUUUAUAACCCCGGAUUGCACAUCUUAGUGCUAUAUUGAGGUGAUACACACACUUGAUGACGAGCGUGGAGUCGUGCACUAUUGGGGAUUGUUACUUAGUCCAUCCUGAUUGAUGAUUUUACUAUGUAAACUGAAGCUUAUUUCCUUUCAUCAUGCUUUGGGUUUAUUGCCAUAUUUGGGCUUCGUGCUAACUAGUUGAAUCCUUCAGGGAUUUUUAUUACCAUUUCCUCACUGUUUUGACUUAUUACUUGAACUCAAUCCUGUUGUUUUUUCACUGUUUUACUACUCAGCCAUUUUACUCAGUUUUGACACUUAAAUGAUAUUUUAAAUGAUAUUUUCAGUUGAGAAUACUAUUUUACUAUUGCUCGAGGGCUUGUGAUGAUUUUUGGACUAAGUAAGGAAGGGGCCUAGUUGUGAGGAUACACUGGUAUUAAUAAAAGGCCGAGGGACUGAGAUAAAUAUUUACGCCAUGAGGUGGUUUGAUUGAUAUGAGGCUGAUGGCCUAGAUUUGAUGCCACGAAAUGGCUUGGUAUUGCGCUUAUUCCAUAAGGGCCCCAUCCCGGAAUCUUUACACCCCUAGUGAGCACGAGUACCCAUUGUGAUGUGAGAUUGAGCCCGAGGGGCUAGCAUUGUUCUGAGGGCCGGUACUGCUUUGAGAUGUUGCCCGAGCGACGGAUUUGUUGAUACUGUGCCCGAGGGGCAAAAUUCUAUUUGUUUACUUACCUAUCAAUUACUUGUUUUACUUGUUGAAAAGGGAUUUUUACUUGACUCUUCACUGUUUUACCGUUUUAAAUGAUUUUUACAUCUUCAAUAUAGAACGCCUUGUGUUUUACGUGUUUUCGUACUUUCAGUCAUUAUUUACAUUUGUUACUCACUGAGUUGGAGUGCUUACUAUACUCCCUGCACCCUAUGUGCAGAUUCAAGCAUUUCUGGUUCCGUUCUUGAGUGCUGAUUCAUCCAGUUCCAGGCGGCUUUUGAAGAUUACGAGGUAUUUGGUGACGUCUGCAGCGCCGUGUCUCUACUCCUCUAUCAUUUCAGUUCCUUUUCAAACAUUGUAGUAGUUUAUAACUUAGACAGACUUGUAUUAUGGCUUAUAGAUGCUCG